rnacentral:rRNA from 1 species
AGUGAACGCUGGCGGUAGGCCUAACACAUGCAAGUCGAACGGCAGCACAGUAAGAGCUUGCUCUUACGGGUGGCGAGUGGCGGACGGGUGAGGAAUACAUCGGAAUCUACUUUUUCGUGGGGGAUAACGUAGGGAAACUUACGCUAAUACCGCAUACGACCUACGGGUGAAAGCAGGGGAUCUUCGGACCUUGCGCGAUUGAAUGAGCCGAUGUCGGAUUAGCUAGUUGGCGGGGUAAAGGCCCACCAAGGCGACGAUCCGUAGCUGGUCUGAGAGGAUGAUCAGCCACAAUGGAAACGAGAACAGGUCCCGAAUCCCAAGGGAGGCAACAGUGGGGAAUAUUGGAACAUGGGGGGCAACCCGGAUCCAGCAUAACCGGGGGGUUAAAGAGGGCCUUCGGUUGGUAAACCCCUUUUUUGGGGAAGAAAAAGCAGCGGUUAAAUACCCGGCGGUUCGAAGGGAACCAAAGAAUAAGGCACCGCCAACUUCGUG